AGAGUUUGAUCCUGGCUCAGGAUGAACGCUGGCGGCGUGCUUAACACAUGCAAGUCGAACGGAGUUUAGAGAGCUUGCUCUUUAAACUUAGUGGCGGACGGGUGAGUAACGCGUGGGUAACCUGCCUUUUCACUGGGGGAUAACAGUUAGAAAUGACUGCUAAUACCGCAUAAGCGCACAGGUUCGCAUGAACUAGUGUGAAAAACUCCGGUGGUGAAAGAUGGACCCGCGUCUGAUUAGCUAGUUGGUGAGGUAACGGCCCACCAAGGCGACGAUCAGUAGCCGGCCUGAGAGGGUGAACGGCCACAUUGGGACUGAGACACGGCCCAAACUCCUACGGGAGGCAGCAGUGGGGAAUAUUGCACAAUGGGGGAAACCCUGAUGCCAGCGACGCCGCGUGAGUGAAGAAGUAUUUCGGUAUGUAAAGCUCUAUCAGCAGGGAAGAAAAUGACGGUACCUGACUAAGAAGCCCCGGCUAACUACGUGCCAGCCGCCGC
rnacentral:rRNA from 1 species